GAGAAUCGGUAUCGAAUCGCUGAAGCGAUCUAAUAUCGAAGCGGUAAAGAAAACAAACAAAAUUGCUACCAAUCUGCAAGAGCUUUUGCAUAAAUAAUUGACGAAAUAACUGGCUCCACUACGGCGUAAUUAGCCGGAAAUCACGGAAUAGAAUCCCUUCACCAAGAUAUGACAACGCGGGCGAGGCCAAAAGUCAAAUAGCAGGGCCAAAUGCAGUGAGCCAAAAAUAAUGAACUCCAAAUGAAGUAGAACAAGAAAGAAAACACAGUGUUAAUUAUUCAUAUUUCAUUAGCGAACAGCACAGAAUCGCAGGUGAAGGCGACGCGAUGCGAUGCGAUGGCAAAGGGCAAAGGCGUGUGCCAUCUAAAAUUUAUAAAAAUCAAAGUAAGCACUGCGAGCGCAAGGAGACCGACUGUCUGAUGGCCGAACUUGAAUUGGAGAAAUCGCCUUUUAAGUUGCCCGAAAGUAGGCAACAAAAUCUUUUGAAUUGAAGCUCGUUUCGAUUUAUUUACUGCACAGUUUUAGUUUAAUCCACUACAGAAUGGUGCAUUUAAAACCAAAUAGUAAUAUUCAUUCUGUAAGAGCCAUUUUUGCCAUUGCAUUUGGCCUGAUAAGCACAUGAUUAUAAUAACACCAUAU